rnacentral:tRNA from 1 species
AAUAAUUGAUUUCCAAUCAUUACUGGUGGGUUCAAGUCCCACUAUGUGCACUGGCUUAAGCUUGGCGGGAUA